UUUCUGCAAAAGACAUACCCCAGCCUGUGCUGGGAGGCUGUUUGCAGAGGCAAUGUUUGCCAUGAAAGUCUAUGGAGCUUACCUUCUAAGUAGUGAAGCUGAUUUUAGCUCCUCGAGCAGCACAGGCAGCAUUUCCGCUCCUGAGGUCCAUAUGUCGACUGCGGGAAGCAAGCGGUCUUCUUCUUCACGCAAGUAGGCACCAUCUCCUGCUCUGUAAUUAAGACGCUUUACACAGGUGACUCACCUGCACCUGUGCAUCUGUAGAACCACCCGGAUUACUGUCCGUUCAUAUUUUAUUAUUCAGUGAGGCUUUUUGUUUUUUUUACAGUGAUUUUAAAUUGGUAGUUUUUCCUGUCUUGCCAACUGUGGUCACAUGGCUCACCUGUGUUUGUCCAUCCAUGGCUGUCUCCCAUCCACCCCUUGACUCUAUGCCCACUCCUCCUUCUGUCCCUUCUCUCUUUCCCUUACUUACCUGUGUACUCAUCUGCAUAGGAAGCUAGUGGUCUCCCACUUCCCUCCUACCUCCCCU
rnacentral:sRNA from 1 species